rnacentral:rRNA from 1 species
UACGUAGGCAGCAAGCGUUGUUCGGAGUUACUGGGCGUAAAGGGUGCGUAGGUGGCUCUAUAAGUAUGGUGUGAAAUCUCCCGCUUAACUGGGAGGGUGCGCCGUAGACUGUGGGGCUAGAGUGUGGGAGAGGAAAGUGGAAUUCCUGGUGUAGCGGUGAAAUGCGUAGAUAUCAGGAGGAACACCGGUGGUGUAAACGGCUUUCUGGACCAUAAACUGACACUGGAGGCAC